rnacentral:rRNA from 1 species
CUAUCCAUGGCCAGGUUGAAGGUGUGGUAACACACACUGGAGGACCGAACCGACUAGUGUUGCAAAAUUAGCGGAUGAGCUGUGGAUAGGGGUGAAAGGCUAAACAAAUCUGGAGAUAGCUGGUUCUCCCCGAAAACUAUUGAGGUAGUGCCUCGUGUAUGACUCCAGGGGGUAGAGCACUGUUAUGGCUAGGGGGACAUGGCGUCUUACCAAACCAUGGCAAACUCCGAAUACUUGGAAGUUUGAGCACGGGAGACAGAGCACCGGGUGCUAACGUCCGGACUCAAAAGGGAAACAACCCAGACCGCCGGCUAAGGUCCCUAAUAUUGACUAAGUGGAAAACGAAGUGGGAAGGCUAAGACAGUCAGGAAGUUGGCUUAGAAGCAGCCAUCCUUCAAAGAAAGCGUAAUAGCUCACUGAUCGAGUCUUCCUGCGCGGAAGAUGUAACGGGGCUAAGUCAAUAACCGAAGCCGCGGAUUCACGACUUGUCGUGAGUGGUAGGGGAGCGUUCUGUAAGCCUGCGAAGGCGGUUCGUAAGGACUGCUGGAGGUAUCAGAAGUGCGAAUGCUGACAUGAGUAACGUUAAAGCAGGUGAAAAGCCUGCUCGCCGUAAGCCCAAGGUUUCCUGCUCUACGUUCAUCGGAGCAGGGUGAGUCGGCCCCUAAGGCGAGGCUGAGAAGCGUAGCUGAUGGGAACAAGGUUAAUAUUCCUUGACCGCCGUUGAGUGCGAAGGGGGGACGGAGUGUUGAAGAUCAUCCGGGUGUUGGAUGUCCCGGUUUGUGAACGUAGGAGGCCGGCAGGCAAAUCCGCCGGCGUAUCUCCGAGGUGAAGCAUCGAGGUCCGUAUGGACCGAAGUGAUCGGAUGGGCUCCCAGGAAAAGCCUCUAAGCUCCAGCUCAACGGGACCGUACCGCAAACCGACACUGGUGGGCGAGCUGAAUAUGCUCAGGCGCUUGAGAGAACUCAGGAGAAGGAACUCGGCAAAUUGACACCGUAACUUCGGGAUAAGGUGUGCCUCGGUAGCGUGAAGGAAGAAACAUCCGGAGCGUGAAGAGGUCUCAGAGAAUCGGUGGCUGCGACUGUUUACUAAAAACACAGCACUCUGCAAAGACGAAAGUCGACGUAUAGGGUGUGAUGCCUGCCCGGUGCUGGAAGAUUAAUUGAUGGGGUGCAAGCUCCUGAUCGAAGUCCCAGUAAACGGCGGCCGUAACUAUAACGGUCCUAAGGUAGCGAAAUUCCUUGUCGGGUAAGUUCCGACCUGCACGAAUGGCAUAACGAUGGCCACACUGUCUCCUCCUGAGACUCAGUGAAGUUGAAGUGUUUGUGAUGAUGCAAUCUCCCCGCGGCUAGACGGAAAGACCCCAUGAACCUUUACUGUAGCUUUGCAUUGGACUUUGAACCGAUCUGUGUAGGAUAGGUGGGAGGCUGUGAAACCGGGACGCCAGUACCGGUGGAGCCGUCCUUGAAAUACCACCCUGAUUUGUUUGAGGUUCUAACCUAGGUCGGUGAUCCCGAUCGGGGACCGUGCAUGGUAGGCAGUUUGACUGGGGCGGUCUCCUCCUAAAGGGUAACGGAGGAGUGCGAAGGUACGCUAGGUACGGUCGGAAAUCGUGCUGAUAGUGCAAUGGCAAAAGCGUGCUUGACUGCGAGACCCACAAGUCGAGCAGAUACGAAAGUAGGUCAUAGUGAUCCGGUGGCUCUGUAUGGAAGGGCCAUCGCUCAACGGAUAAAAGGUACUCUGGGGAUAACAGGCUGAUACCGCCCAAGAGUUCAUAUCGACGGCGGUGUUUGGCACCUCGAUGUCGGCUCAUCUCAUCCUGGGGCUGUAGCCGGUCCCAAGGGUAUGGCUGUUCGCCAUUUAAAGAGGUACGUGAGCUGGGUUUAAAACGUCGUGAGACAGUUU